rnacentral:rRNA from 1 species
AUUGAACGCUGGCGGCAGGCUUAACACAUGCAAGUCGAGCGAGCGGCGGACGGGUGCGUAAUGUCUGGGAAACUGCCUGAUGGAGGGGGAUAACUACUGGAAACGGUAGCUAAUACCGCAUAACAUAGGAUGUGCCCAGAUGGGAUUAGCUAGUAGGUUGGGGACAGGGUAAACUAGGCGACGAUCCCUAACUGGUCUGAGAGGAUGACCAGCCACACGUGAACUGAGACACGGUCCAGACUCCUACGGGAGGCAGCAGUGGGGACUAUUGCACAAUGGGCUCAAGCCUGAUGCAGCCAUGCCGCGUGUGUGAAGAAGGCCUUCGGGUUGGAAAGCACUUUCAUCGAGGAGGCGUUACUCGCAGAAGAAGCACCGGCUAACUCCGUGACAGCCGCCGCGGUAAGAC